AUUGAACGCUGGCGGCAGGCCUAACACAUGCAAGUCGAGCGGCAGCGGGAAAGUAGCUUGCUACUUUUGCCGGCGAGCGGCGGACGGGUGAGUAAUGCCUGGGAAAUUGCCCAGUCGAGGGGGAUAACAGUUGGAAACGACUGCUAAUACCGCAUACGCCCUACGGGGGAAAGCAGGGGACCUUCGGGCCUUGCGCGAUUGGAUAUGCCCAGGUGGGAUUAGCUAGUUGGUGAGGUAAUGGCUCACCAAGGCGACGAUCCCUAGCUGGUCUGGUGGGAUGAUCGGCGACACUGGAACGAAAGAACGGUCCAGAUGCCUACGGGAGGCAGCGGGGGGGAAUAUUGCACAAUGGGGGAAACCCUGAUGCAGCCAUGCCGAGUGUGUGAAGAAGGCCUUCGGGUUGUAAAGCACUUUCAGCGAGGAGGAAAGGUUGUCGGCUAAUAUCCAGCAGCUGUGACGUUACUCGCAGAAGAAGCACCGGCUAACUCCGUGCCAGCCGCCGCCGUAACAC
rnacentral:rRNA from 1 species